AAAGGUAAGCUACUAAGAGCGAAUGGUGGAUGCCUUGACUGGUAAAGGCGAUGAAGGACGUACUAGACUGCGAUAAGCUACGGGGAGCUGUCAAGAAGCUUUGAUCCGUAGAUUUCCGAAUGGGGCAACCCAAUGUAUAGAGAUAUACAUUACCUAUAUAGGAGCGAACGAGGGGAAUUGAAACAUCUUAGUACUCUCAGGAAAAGAAAUCAAUAGAGAUUGCGUCAGUAGCGGCGAGCGAAAGCGCAAGAGGGCAAACCCAGUGCUUGCACUGGGGGUUGUAGGACUGCAAUGUGCAAGAGGUAAGUUUAGCAGAACAUUCUGGAAAGUAUAACCAUAGAGGGUGAUAGUCCCGUAUGCGAAAAACAAAGCUUAGCUAGCAGUAUCCUGAGUAGGGCGGGACACGAGGAAUCCUGUCUGAAUCCGGGUCGACCACGAUCCAACCCUAAAUACUAAUACCAGAUCGAUAGUGCACAAGUACCGUGAGGGAAAGGUGAAAAGAACUGAGGUGAUCAGAGUGAAAUAGAACCUGAAACCAUUUGCUUACAAUCAUUCAGAGCCCUAUGUAGCAAUACAG
rnacentral:rRNA from 1 species